rnacentral:rRNA from 1 species
UUCUCCAAACAGUGGUUCACUCGGCUCGUGGGUCGAUGAAGAACGUUUCCAACUGCGCGAAUUAACGUGAAUUGCAGGACAUAUUAAACAUCGACAUUUCGAACGCAAACUGAAGAUAUUAUAUUUAAUUAAAAAUUUGUUAUAUAUUAUAGUUUUA